rnacentral:rRNA from 1 species
GAUGAACGCUGGCGGCGUGCCUAAUACAUGCAAGUCGAGCGAACAGACGAGGAGCUUACUCCUCUGACGUUAGCGGCGGCCGGGUGAGUAACACGUGGAUAACCUACCUAUAAGACUGGGAUAACUUCGGGAAACCGGAGCUAAUACCGGAUAACAUGUUGAACCGCAUGGUUCAACAGUGAAAGACGGUCUUGCUGUCACUUAUAGAUGGAUCCGCGUCGCAUUAGCUAGUUGGUAAGGUAACGGCUUACCAAGGCAACGAUGCGUAGCCGACCUGAGAGGGUGAUCGGCCACACUGGAACUGAGACACGGUCCAGACUCCUACGGGAGGCAGCAGUAGGGAAUCUUCCGCAAUGGGCGAAAGCCUGACGGAGCAACGCCGCGUGAGUGAAGAAGGUCUUCGGAUCGUAAAACUCUGUUAUUAGGGAAGAACAAAUGUGUAAGUAACUAUGCACGUCUUGACGGUACCUAAUCAGAAAGCCACGGCUAACUACGUG